rnacentral:rRNA from 1 species
AUUGAACGCUGGCGGCAGGCCUAACACAUGCAAGUCGAGCGGAGCGUCUUACGUGUGCUUCAUACCUCGUUAUCUGCCUGUUAGUGGGGGAUAACGUUCGGCAACGGACGCUAAUACCGCUUCCUAUCAGAUGCGCCUAGGUCUGAUUGGCUAGUUGGUGAGGUAAUGGCUCACCAAGGCUACGAUCCGUAACUGGUCUGAGAGGAUGAUCAGUCACACUGGAACUGGGACACGGUCCAGACUCCUACGGGAGGCAGCAGUGGGGAAUAUUGGACAAUGGGCGAAAGCCUGAUCCAGCCAUGCCGCGUGUGUGAAGAAGGUCUUCGGAUUGUAAAGCACUUUAAGUUGGGAGGCGGUACCGAAAGAAUAAGCACCGGCUAACUCUGUGCCAGCAGCCGCGGUAAUUC